CAGCAGCCGCGGUAAUACGAGGGGUGCAAGCGUUAAUCGGAAUUACUGGGCGUAAAGCGUUCGUAGGCGGUUUGUUAAGCAAGAUGUGAAAGCCCAGGGCUCAACCUUGGAACUGCAUUUGAUACUGGGUAACUAGAGUACUGUAGAGGGUGGUGGAAUUUCCAGUGUAGCGGUGAAAUGCGUAGAGAUUGGAAGGAACAUCAGUGGCGAAGGCGGCCACCUGGACAGAUACUGACGCUGAGGAACGAAAGCGUGGGGAGCGAACAGGAUUAGAUACCCUGGUAGUCCACGCCGUAAACGAUGUCAACUAGCCGUUUGUGGACUUGAUCCGUGAGUGGCGCAGCUAACGCACUAAGUUGACCGCCUGGGGAGUACGGCCGCAAGGUUAAAACUCAAAUGAAUUGACGGGGGCCCGCACAAGCGGUGGAGCAUGUGGUUUAAUUCGAUGCAACGCGAAGAACCUUACCAUCCCUUGACAUCCACAGAAGAGACCAGAGAUGGACUUGUGCCUUCGGGAACUGUGUGACAGGUGCUGCAUGGCUGUCGUCAGCUCGUGUUGUGAAAUGUUGGGUUAAGUCCCGCAACGAGCGCAACCCCUAUCCUUAUUUGGCAGCGCGUUAUGGCGGGAACUCUAAGGAGACUGCCGGUGAUAAACCGGAGGAAGGUGGGGACGACGUCAAGUCAUCAUGGCCCUUACGGGAUGGGCUACACACGUGCUACAAUGGCAGGUACAGAGGGNCGCAAAGCCGCGAGGUGGAGCUAAUCUCACAAAGUACGUCGUAGUCCGGAUCGGAGUCUGCAACUCGACUCCGUGAAGUCGGAAUCGCUAGUAAUCGUGGAUCAGAAUGCCACGGUGAAUACGUUCCCGGGCCUUGUACACACCGCCCGUCACACCAUGGGAGUGGGCUGCAAAAGAAGUGGGUAGUUUAACCUUCGGGAGAACGCUCACCACUUUGUGGUUCAUGACUGGGGUGAAGUCGUAACAAGGUAGCCGUA
rnacentral:rRNA from 1 species